AAAUUGUGGAAUCACGAAGAUUAAGUUCUGAGUGUGAGUUCCACACUUUUGGCUCCAUCAGUUAGUCUCAGAAAGCUCCCACGAAUUUCAGAAUGAGAGCCGUCAACCCUUCCCUUCCAUUUCCUCCUAACCAAACUUUCCCCAGUUUCCUUCCUCCAAACCCUAACCCUAAUUCCCAUAUCCAUGAUUCUUCGCAUUCUGAAUCUCAACAUCCUUCUCUCGACUUGCCUUCUUCCUUUUCCUCCCUCAAUACCCUCAUCCAUCUCGCUAAUCAAACCCUUGAAUCUCUCUCCUACCUCACCCCAUCUGUUUUCGCGAACCAUUCUCGUCUCCUUCACUGCUAUUUUGAUCGGCGCCACCGUGUCCCCCCGCAUUCUCUCUUCCGUCACUCCCUCCUCUGCCCUUCUGCUUCCCUGCAUCCUAUUGACCCCACCCAACUUUUUCAAUCCUUGCUUUACCCCCAAACGCUUCAUUCAUCUCAUCAAUUGGUUAAUGAAAACCGCUUCUCUCAAGUUCUCCCGGAUUCGGAUGCAGACCUUUGCUUUUCUCUCACUGAUUAUACUGAUGCCACUUCCAAUUUCUUCUAUGCUGAUUGCCCUGGCGUCGUUGCAUUGUCUAACCUUGAUGAAAUGUCCAAAGUCUUCACACUUCCCCGUGUUUUGGCCGUUCAUUGUGCUAAUUUUGUCGGUAAUGACCAUUUAGAGAUGAAUAGUACUUUGAAUGGGAUACGAAUACUUCCUUCUGACUUGUGGAUUCUUAGAAGUGAGGUAGAAAUUUGGAAUGACUAUCCCAAUAAGUAUUCGUUUGUUGUGCUUCGGUCCAUAUUGGGCUCAGAGAUGCUUUUGAACAGCCAUUUGAUGACAUGGAUCAUUGAAAAUUCGCCUCGGUAUGGUGUUGUUAUUGAUGUUGCUUUGAGGGAUCAUAUAUUUUUGCUGUUUAGGUUGUGUUUUAUGGCAAUCUAUAAGGAAGCUUUGGGGUUUCAAGUUGCCUUGGAAAAAGGUAACGGAAUGGAGGGUGGAUCAGUGAAUAGCUGUUUUAAGUGUCCGAUUUUGAUUCAAGUAUUGAUGUGGCUAGCAUCGCAGCUUUCCGUGUUGUACGGGGAAACAAACGGGAAAUUCUUUGCUGUUAACAUGCUUAGACAAUGUAUACUAGAUGCUGCAUUGCGGUUGCUUUUACCAUCCGAACAAAAAUCUACGGAGGGUCUGACUUUAGGAAAGGGUUGUCAUGAUCUCGAAAUUAGUUGUAGUGACAUACAGAGUGUGAAGAUGAACGAAUUGGAUCAGAAAGUUGUGAAUAAUGGCAAUGUUACUGGAGGAGAAACGGUCAAUUGUAGGGUGAUUCUUGUGUCCCAAGUUGCUGCAGCUGUUGCAGCAUUGCAUGAGCGUUUCCUACUGGAAGAAAAGAUCAAAGCUUUACGCUUUGCUCAUCUGCAAACAAAAUAUCAGCGGGUUUCUGAGUAUAAUUAUAUCUCUCAAAGAGCUUGUGAAGAGCGCAAGAGACGUUGCAACUAUAGACCUAUAAUUGAGCAUGAUGGACUCCCAAAGCAGCAGUCUUAUAAUGAGGAUGCAAACAAGACCAAAACAAGGGAGGAAUUGUUGGCUGAAGAAAGGGAUUAUAAACGUCGAAGAAUGUCAUACCGUGGAAAGAAGGCAAAGCGAUCAACUUUACAGGUUACGAGAGAUAUUAUUGAGGAAUACAUGGAGGAGAUUAUGAAAGCUGGAGGAAUUGGGUGCUUUGUCAAGGGACCUGAAGAGAGAGGAAUAAAAUCUGAACAACCAAGUGAUCAUAAUAUUACAAGAAAUAUUGUUGCUGACGUGCACACAAGAGGAAGCAACGACCCAUGUGGAGAUGCCAGACAUAGCUCAGGUCAUUCCAAGAAGCAGUCUUUUCAUGAUAGUAGAUACUUGGUUUCUGAUAAGCCACAAAAAGGUCAUUAUGAGCAAUAUGGCUCCCCGGAAGAUGAAAGGAAAAUUUCCCAUAAGGACAAAUAUGAUCGAGAUCACUAUCAUAGGUUCUCAGAUCAAAGCAGUAUUCCUAGCCAGUCACACAAAUGGAAGAGAUAUCCAAAUGAUCGAGAUGAUGAGGUGCCAGCAGAAACCAGGCAUCAUGAAACUAAAAAGCUGGCUUCUAGCAGCUCCCAUGGAAGAUCAUCUUCAUCCUCAAGAUCUGGGAAUGGUUCAAGUGCAAGGAAGGAUAGCCAUAAGUUGAGAGCCAGUGAUAGUUGGAAGAGGAACACGGCUGAUAAUCACAGUUCAGAGCAUUUGGUGUCUAAUUCAUUCAGUGAUAGGUAUACCCCAUCUGAAUGUCAUGACGAAUUGGAAGAUGAGUACUCCACUGUGAGCAGAUUAUCUAAAUCCAGAUGAACAUUAAUUUUAUGAUCAUUGAACGAUGAUAGGGUGUGCUGCAUGCUGUGCUUUACUUUUUAACCUAACAAAUCUCUACCUUGUGCAUGAAGUUUUAUCUGGCUUCAGAAAUUUUAUCCUCACCUGUAUCCUCCAUAGUAUCCUUGAAGUUUAUAUCCCAUUUUCUUAUACAUUGAAUCUUGUCUGAACCUCUAUUCUUUCAUUUAUGUUUCUGAGAGAUUUGCUACGAACUAUGUUGCACUUGCAUUUAUUUGAUUUAAAUCAUCAUCGUAUAAAAGAUGCCAAUUUUACAUCCACUUUUUCUGUUCUAGGGUUGUCUUAUAAUUCUAGAUUAAUUGGCAGAUUAAUGAAGUCGUCAGAAAAAUGAUUCAUUAAUCACAUUUUAUGGAGGGUGCAACCAACUGUUAGUUAUGGUUAUGAAAUUACCAUGUUAUGCGGUUGUUUCUUUUUGUACUCCUUGUUUGCUAUGGUUCACACAAUUUGGUGUUGCAUCACUUGACCUUUACCUCUUCUUUUCGGUUGCAAUUGGAGUUGGUCAUUCAAAAUCUUACUUGGAAAAUUUAAAAAUUGAAAAAAAAAGAUCGUAUAGGUUAGGCAUUAUAAACUGGUUACUCAGGCAAUAUCAUUGAAUAAGCCAAAGUUGUUUCCGGUCUAUUCGUAGUGAGAUGAAAGAUUAAUCUAGCAACUUGAUAAACAUUUUAGGCAAUUACACUGGGUACUAGAACUCAACCUUAUUACUGAUGUUCUAUUAGUUCUAACUUUUGUAUUGUAUUUAGUGUUUUGACCAACAGCCCAGUUUAUCAGUGAAGUAUUGAAGGCAGUCUGUCGAUUAAGUUGAUCCGUGGCCUACAACCCGCAGCAUUUCAGAUUGUCUUUUGCCGGUCGCUUCAUCCUACAUUUAUGCUCAUAGUACGUACUUUUGGAUUUAUGAAGGUAUGAAUUUGGCUUCUUUGUAUGUCUUCUGUCUUUUCCAUUUUGGCUGCCCAUGAGAGUGGGAUAUAAGUAAACAUUGUUGGAAAAGCUGGAAAGAAGUGGUUGGAGAACUAUUUAUUUAUUUACUUAUAGAAGCAUGUUAGGAAGAUGAUUGUUUAAUCAUAUCAUUUUCUGUAUGGUGUGUGUGGUCUUUUAGAACAACAUUGUGUGGAUAUUGCUUGUAUUUCUCCCUAGGAGACAAGCAUGCUGAUGCGUGAAUUAAAAAAGAAGUGAUUUGCAAGGCUUUCUUAUGCAA